rnacentral:rRNA from 1 species
AGUGAACGCUGGCGGUAGGCCUAACACAUGCAAGUCGAACGGCAGCACAGUAAGAGCUUGCUCUUACGGGUGGCGAGUGGCGGACGGGUGAGGAAUACAUCGGAAUCUACUUUUUCGUGGGGGAUAACGUAGGGAAACUUACGCUAAUACCGCAUACGACCUACGGGUGAAAGCAGGGGAUCUUCGGACCUUUCGCGAUUGAAUGAGCCGAUGUCGGAUUAGCUAGUUGGCGGGGUAAAGGCCCACCAAGGCGACGAUCCGUAGCUGGUCUGAGAGGAUGAUCAGCCACACUGGAACUGAGACACGGUCCAGACUCCUACGGGAGGCAGCAGUGGGGAAUAUUGGACAAUGGGCGCAAGCCUGACCCAGCCAUGCCGCGUGAGUGAAGAAGGCCUUCGGGUUGUAAAGCCCUGUUGUUGGGGAAGAACAGCAGCAGGUUAAUACCCCGCUGUUCUGACGGUACCCAAAGAAUAAGCACCGGCUAACUUCGUG